UACGGAAGGCAGCAGUGGGGAAUAUUGCACAAUGGGCGCAAGCCUGAUGCAGCCAUGCCGCGUGUAUGAAGAAGGCCUUCGGGUUGUAAAGUACUUUCAGCGGGGAGGAAGGCGAUGCGGUUAAUAACCGCGUCGAUUGACGUUACCCGCAGAAGAAGCACCGGCUAACUCCGUGCCAGCAGCCGCGGUAAUACGGAGGGUGCAAGCGUUAAUCGGAAUUACUGGGCGUAAAGCGCACGCAGGCGGUCUGUUAAGUCAGAUGUGAAAUCCCCCGGGCUUAACCUGGGAACUGCAUUUUGAAACUGGCAGGCUUGAGUCUUGUAGAGGGGGUGAAAUUCCAGGUGUAGCGGUGAAAUGCGUAGAGAUCUGGAGGAAUACCGGUGGCGAAGGCGGCCCCUGGGACAAAGACUGACGCUCAGGUGCGAAAGCAUGGGGAGCAAACAGGAUUUAGGAUAACC
rnacentral:rRNA from 1 species